rnacentral:tRNA from 2 species
GGAGAGGUGGCAGAAUGGUAAUGCACCGGUUUCGAAAACCGGCUCCGCCUAUGGCGGAUUGCAGGUUCGAAUCCUGUCCUCUCCGCCA